AGAGGAGACUGACUAAAGUUUGGUUGACGACGGAGUCCUUGUCACAGCAAAGAAUCAUCCUGCCCUUGUCUAUUCUUGGGUAAAACCCACCCCAGCCUUCCUCAUGGCUCCUUUUUGGUGCUGUGUUUCAGGCAGGAGCAGAAUCCUCACCUUUGGAACCCUGUUCACUCCACCCAGAACAAGAAACAGAUCGAGGAAGAGGCAGAGUAACAACAGCCGGGAAGAAGAUACAGUUUUGUCAUUUUGUAGUGAGACUGUGCCCUAUACAUGAACCUAUUUGCCAGACCCAUCAAGUGAAUUCCGUGAUUCUUAUGAAAAAGCUAAGUUUAUUUCAAAGUUUUAGUAGAACACAUUGAAAAUAGUCAUCACUUAUUGUGCUCAGAGCCACUUCAUUGAUUUUAUUUCUUAAGCUAGAUAGCUAUCAACUACAAAGUCAGCCUUCUGGGAAGAAACCUGUAUGUCAUGAAAUCAGCAUGAAUUUUAGGUUAAGACAAAUCUGCAUUUCAAUCUUUGCUUGGCCAUUUAGAGUUUUGCAAUUAUGGGUGGUUCCAUGGCCUAACUGAGCUUCAGUUUCCUUAUUUGUGAAAUUGGGUUAAUACAACUAUUACAGAUUAGCACAAAUGAAGUAUAUGUAGCAAGCAUUCAAAACACAUUACAAUUCCUUGCUUAUUCUUUAGCCUUUUUGGUUUCUUCAUGUUUAGCCCAUGUAAAGUGAAGUAAAUCAAAUAAACCAUCGCUGAUUUUGGGUGAAGAAAUGAAACCCCAGAGCCCAGAAUUAGUACAGAUCUGGUGGUAUAACUCUAUGCUGAGCUAUACCAUCUACAUCCCUUAAUUACACUUCUAGGUUCUGACCACUAAAGUGCUGGGAUUAUGUUAAAUUCAGUUGGUGAGGAUGAAACAUAGAGCUAUGAGCUCAUCAGUAAUCUCCCCAGUCAAGCCUUCCACAUCAUUGUUUUUGCCUUUUUAGGCUCAAGAGGUUAAUGACAUUUUUUUAAAAAAUGAUUUUUCAAGUGCUUGAAGAUUACAGUUAAACUGGAUAUAUAAUCUGCUCCACUUUUGACCCUAAAAAACUGUAAAAUGCAGAAAUGUAACAUAGCGAUCUUAUCCUAACUCAGAUAAAUUUGCUAAAACACACACAUAUACUUUUGUUAUUUACAUUGGGAAAAACAAUUCUAAAUUCAAUCCUGGAUAAGUAUUUUUAAACGCAAACUUUAUGACCCAAUUCUGUUUCUACUGAACAGUGAGCUCAGGAGCAAGUGUUCAGGGAUAUGAUAAAAUCUGUAUGAUUUGAAGGAGAAAAUACGCCCGUAGUGAAAGAUAUGGGAAGAAGUUCUCACAAAUGGGAGAGAAAUUGAUUCUUUUCUUAUCAAAUUUUGUAGGAUGAGAUGCAGAUCUGAUUUCUAGGUAUUGCAGAUCAUGAGACUGAAAAAUUCAUAGGAUGCUUUAUUUUCUCCUCUUUCUUUCGCUACCUGGCAAACUGUUGGCCUGGGGUCUGGGAAGCCAUCUCUGUGUUGAGCCCCCAACCUGCUCUCCAUGAAGUUCCAAGAAGGUAACCUGACCGCGUUGGUCUUACCCCUCUGAUUAUACAGUGCCAUUAGACCUGUGAGAGGGGCUGUGACAGUGGAACCCGAAUGAAGACAGGAAAAGUCUGUAGAGGACUGAUGGUUAUGUUCACCAUUCAAAUUGCAAGAAAACCAAUAAGAAGUCAGUAAAGUGCAUUCAAAGAGAAAGGUGGGACUCGUGAAGCAGCAAUACUAAACUGAUACACAAAGGAUCCCCGUACUUCAUCAAAAUAUCAAUGUUGUCCAUGACACACAAAGAACCCAGCUGUAGUUUAAUUCAGCAUCACAGUCCCAACAUGUUUUAAAACAUGUUCCAGCUUUUGGUCCCAGGAUUAUUCAACCUAGCUCAUAAAAGAAAACAAUAUUGCAUUUCUAAGUAUUGGCUCCUAGAAUUGGCAAGUUUAGUCAAGAAAAGCUGGAAUGCCGUUAAAACAACACCCUGUCAUCUUUCAAUCAGUCCUUAGCUGAAGUUAAAAUCCCACUCAUUCUGCAUGAUCCAGCCUCUGUAGCAUAGAGUGAGUAGCCCCUUAACAAGAACCAAAAUGGAGGGUACGGAUGAGGCUCAGAUCGUCACCACCUGGAGAAUAGAGACAGUGACUGAGUCACCAGGAAAUCUGUCCCCUGCUCAUCCCAGAAUCCCCGAGCUUUGACUUUUUAAGAGAACAUGUGACAGAUAAUGCCAUCUGAGAAGUCCAGCUUAGGCAACUCAGUCAUCAAUGUGUCCUCGAGAAGAGCAUAUCCCCAAAUUGGAAAAUAAUCCUUCAGGGCAUCUGAACAUAACCACAUUUGGCUUACUUUGUGAAGCAGUUGUCUGAAUAGAAUAAGACUGGCUUGGAACGAGGCGAGUGUUAGACAUUUUAAAAUGCAUUUUAAGAAAAAUUAAUUCUGGGUCUUUCUGCUUACCAUAUUUGUUUGCUAUGUAUUUUUUUUGUUUUGUUUUUUGAGACAGGGUCUUGCUCUGUCACUCAGGCUGGAGCGCAGUGGCACAAUCAUGGCUUACUGCAGCCUCUACCUCCCGGGCUCAAGCAAUCCUCCCACUUCAGUUUCUUGAGUAGCUGGGACUACAAGUGUGUGCCACCACACCAAGCUAAUUUUUUACUUUUUUGCAAAGAUAGGGGUCUCACUAUGUUGCCCAAGCUGGACUUGAACACCUAGGCUCAAGCAAUCUUCCCACCUUGAUCUCCCGAAGUGUUGGGAUUAUAGCAUGAAC
rnacentral:lncRNA from 1 species